AGACGCUGGGAGCGAUGCCCGUUGGCCCAGACCAAUCUGAGACUAGUCAGAGCUGCCCCAGUCCAGCUAGUCAAGGACCCCUGGGCUGAUCCACCUGAUAAGGGUGGAGGCACUGAGGGCAAACUUCCCAGUUAGGAUCACCUGGGGGUGCGUGGGAGUGAGCCCAGGCCUCCAAAAUAAGGUCUAAGGCCCUAGGCACUCGUGUGCAAUGUUGGAGAGCUGUGUUCGGCCAGUGGAUGUCAGGCUUUCCCUGCUUGCAGUCUGGACCCAGCUUCAUGCUUAGCAUUCAGACCGAGGUCUCCUGCGGGUAUCAGAACCCGCAUCUCAGUCCUGCCAAGUAGCUUUUUGAGCUGGAUGCAAAAGUGUGUUCCUUCCUCGCAGCCCCUUGGAAGGCCCAGGGUGUUUUCCCAGCAACGGAAGUGAUUUAGAAGACUUCCUCACCGCGGCCACUCGCAGGCUCGAUUUCAGAGAGAAGAAGAAGAGCGUGGGUGACCUUCAAGGUUCCUUCUCUGUGUAAUUACCUGUGGGGUAGGAAAAGAACCACGAAGCAUUUUAGGUAUUGAAUCCCGAGCUCUGUGUCUCCUGAGCCUGUAUUUUACUACUGAGCUUCCCAACCUCUUACUCGACAUUUCUUAUGGCUGUGUGCAGGCUGGUGCAUGCUGCUCACUGCAGUGUCUUUAAAACAACAAGCUGUGGAUAUGAGCCAUAGUCGUUUUGUUGAUAUGAG